GAUCCUGGCUCAGGACGAACGCUGGCGGCGUGCCUAACACAUGCAAGUCGAACGGAGAUAAAGAUUUCGGUUUUUAUCUUAGUGGCGCACGGGUGAGUAACACGUGAAUAACCUGACCCAAAGAGGGGGAUAACACCUGGAAACAGGUGCUAAUACCGCAUAAGACCACAAUGUCGCAUGACGAAGGGGUCAAAGAAAAUCGCUUUGGGAGGGGUUCGCGUCCCAUUAGGUAGUAGGCGGGGUAACAGCCCACCUAGCCGACGAUGGG
rnacentral:rRNA from 1 species